GUAGUCUCGCACAGAUGCAUAUCAAUAAGCGGAGGAAAAGAAACUAACAAGGAUUCCCUUAGUAACGGCGAGUGAAGCGGGAAGAGCUCAAAUUUGAAAUCUUCAAGGUUUUACCUUGACGAAUUGUAAUUUAAAGAAGUGUUUUCUGUUGAAGUUUUGGUAAAAGUUCUUUGGAAUAGGGACAUCAUAGAGGGUGAGAAUCCCGUAUUUGACCAUUAUUUUCAGCUGUGUGAUACACUUUCAAAGAGUCGGAUUGUUUGGGAAUGCAGUCCAAAAUGGGUAGUAAAUUUCAUCUAAAGCUAAAUAUUGGCGAGAGACUGAUAGCGAACAAGUACCGUGAGGGAAAGAUGAAAAGAACUUUGAAAAGAGAGUUAAACAGUACGUGAAAUUGUCAAAAGGGAAGCGUUUGACACCUGUGUUGUUUUCUCGAAAAUCAAUUAAAAAGAGUUAGAUUUUGUUGUGUAUUGACCUUAACAGCUUGCAUUUCAAUUUUCUUGCUUUUUUUAAUGCACUUUUCGUUUAACAAGUCGACAUCAGUUUCUUUUGUUGUAAAAAGGUCAUUGGAAGGUGGCUUUCUUUUCGGAGAAAGUGUUUAUAGCCUUUGACUCCUGCAAUCGGAGAGACUGAGGUCUGCAGCGUAGAUCCUUCGGGGUUAGAUACAUUUGUGCUAAGUUAUAGCUUUUUAUAGACAACUUGUUGACUAUGAUUAGUCUUGUAGCUUACUCGCUUAUGCUAUUUUACCUACGCUUAGGAUGUUGAGCGCAUGUCUCUCUCU
rnacentral:rRNA from 1 species